GCGGCCGUAGCCCAACUGGCAGGAGGCACGGGUUUUAGGUACCCGACAGUGUGAGUUCGAAUCUCAUCGGCCGCACCA
rnacentral:tRNA from 1 species